rnacentral:rRNA from 1 species
AUUGAACGCUGGCGGCAGGCCUAACACAUGCAAGUCGAACGAGUGGCGGACGGGUGAGUAAUGUCUGGGAAACUGCCCGAUGGAGGGGGAUAAAUACUGGAAACGGUAGCUAAUACCGCAUACCAUCGGAUGUGCCCAGAUGGGUUUAGCUAGUGGGUGGGGUAACGGCUCCCCUAGGCCACGAUCCCUACCUGGUCUGAGAGGAUGACCAGCAAAACUGGAACUGAGACACGGUCCAGACUCCUACGGGAGGCAGCAGUGGGGAAUAUUGCACAAUGGGCGCAAGCCUGAUGCAGCCAUGCCGCGUGUAUGAAGAAGGCCUUCGGGUUGUAAAGUACUUUCAGCGGGGAGGCGUUACCCGCAGAAGAAGCACCGGCUAACUCCGUGCCAGCAGCCGCGGUAAUUC